ACACUCCUCACCUUGUAUUCUCAAGGAAACCUUUAUCCAUGGCUGGAGGUAUCAUACUACUCCUGCUUGUCAUCCCCCUCGUCGUGAGAAUUGAAGGGAGUGUCAUGGGGGAGAGAUCCAACUCGUUCUCACAGGACUCCAAUAAUUCUAGCCCUGCUGAAAACAAACUCGAACCAGGUCCUCUUUUCAUAUUGGUUAUAUUGGUUAUUUAUUAGGGAUCAGUGAGCUUCGAAUUGAGUAAAUCUGUAAUUACUUCUACACUACUAAUUAUCAUUAUGUGACUGCUCGUAAAGGUGAAAAGUCCUUCGCAUCGGAGGCAUACUGUGAGAGGUGUCCAGACCUAGAAUAGGUGUGAAGUGUGUGUGCGUGCUGGGCGCGAUGGGUGGAGUGAGCCACUGUAACCAGGAUACAUAUACACUGUCUUGUGGAGGGGGAAAAGGGGAUGCAUAAUGAGAAUUAUCAACAGAACUUCUCUCAUUCCUUUUCUCUGUUCCUGCUUCCUCUUCUCCGAUCUCUCAUCUUGUCCUCUACUUCCCUAUUCUGAUUAGGUCUGCUGCUCUGGUUGGUGAUCCUAAAGGGGUUGCUAACAAUUGGUAUCAGAGGGAAAUCGUUCCUCGACCGGAAGCAUCCAUGGCGUCUCCUUCACUGGUCGAUACUCAGCUCAUCGAAGCGUUGGAGCACCAAACCCGGGUUAUCCUCGCCGAACUCGACAAGCGGUUCACGGCGCUCGACUCCAAGUGGGAAGCGCGAGUCCAGACGCACCAAGUAGCGGUGGGCGCCGUCGUGGAGUGGCGGCCCCAGGUGGAUGCCUCCAUCGAACAUCUUCAACAACACCAAGCAGAUCAGCCGCACCUCCGCUCCGUCGGGAACAUGCCCCACGAGGGCGGCCUCCUCUCUUCCGCCAUCACCAAGCAGAUCGAACCCGUCUGCCUUAAGGAGCUUGCAUUGCUGGGGGACGCCGACUCGCGGGUCCAGGCCACCGAAACCGACGUCGUGUUCCCUUCCAGCAAAAUGCUCAGCCUCGUCGGCGCGGUCGACAAGGAGGAACGCCACUCAACCCAGGAAGUCCCGAGACGCGCACCUCGUCGCAACGCGCUACGAGGGGGGACCAAACCCACCCCUUCGCCGUCUUCGACGACCACAGCGCCGCUGGAGCAUCCUGCACUGGGUUCGCGCGAGACGUGGUCCCGCGCCUCCUCCACGCUUUGCUCGUCCGCGUCAUGUUCGUCGAGCAGGUGGAGGGCAUGCGCGACCCGGAGGACGAGGGCUUGGCGCCCAACGAGAGGAACCUGCAACGCGUCUGGGCGCGCGACACACUCUACUCAGGCACCGCCUUCACCCGCAGCCUCGGGAACCUCACCGCCUCCGCGGCGCUGCCCACGCCGCUCUACAGGUAUGUGGCGCCCUGCUACGACUGUUGGGGUAGGGUCAACCCCGACGUCCACGCUGCUCCACACGCAAGCAUCAACUGCUCCAUGGGUAGAGGAACAAGUCAGUGGUAGCUCGCCCCUCGGGUGUUCGACCAAAUGUCUUUGCCAGGCUAUGCAAAACAUUGUCAAGCCAAAUCCGCCAAGGAUGAACGAGAUCACGGGUGCUGCUCGUUUGAAACCUCAAGGCUCAUUUCACUAUGGAUCUAUCAAUGGGAGCCAGAUUUACAAGAUGAGGAAUGAACCACCUGUUAUCAUCAAUGGAAAGAAACGGGUUAUAGUGAGUGCCUUGGUGUGGAGAAUUAAAUCACUCGAUAUAAUGACCAGUUACAUUCUUCCAAAGCCCCCUUGGUUGGCAUUUGAUCCAGGCAAAUUGUUUAGAGUUGAUUACAGCUCCAGUUCCACAAGUGCUUCCUUACCGUAUGCAUUGCAAUUUUCACUUGAUGUCCAGACGAUGGAAACAGUUGAUAUAGUCGUUCCUAAUCAGAGAUAUACUACUGGAGAACAAGUGUCUGUGGCAGUUUCUGUUGCAGCUACUCAAGGGCUGGCAUCAGUGAAUACUAUGAAAUUCCAGGGCAUAAUCCAGGGUGUCAAGGUAGCUAUUUUGGUGGAUUCCGGCAGCUCCCAUUCCUUUGUGAGUGCAGAUCUGGCCUCACAACUAUCCAGCGUGGUGGGCAUGGUGACACUAGUGUCAGUGCAGGUAGCGGAUGGCGGUCUCCUGCAGUGUUAUUGCCAGUUGUUAGGUGCUAAAUGGAUGGUGCAGCAGUGUGAGUUCUCUACCAAUUUCAGAGUACUUGACAUUUCAGCAUACAAUGUCAUUGUGGACAUGGAUUGGUUGUCCAGCUACAGUUCGAUGAAGGUCCAUUGGGCCCAGUGGUGGGUGAUAAUUCCUUAUCAAGGCUCUUUUGUAUUGCUUCAUGGUUGUUCAGCUGUUUUGCCACCAAGGUUUUGGAUUAUAGAUGAUGGUUGGCAAGAGACACUUGACUAUUAUCCAGAGACGUUGCAUCAGAUGCUUGUUGCGAAUGCUGAUGGGAGUUUCAAGCUACCAGGGAAUUCUGUGAAAGACUUUCUUGACUCUAAAACUGCCUUGAAGAUACAUGUUUUGAUAACAAAUUUUCAGAACAAGCUUCUUGAAGUAAUCAAUGCAACUGAACUUCCUGAAUUUUUGGGGGGGCCAUGCACUUAUACUAUGGGAGGAUGCCUGAUGUCUAACAAAGGUCCAUGGAACGAUCCAGAUACUAUGAAGCUUUCACAUAACAAGGAAGCAAAGUUUACAAGACAUAAUAGAGGUCUGCUGCUCUGGUUGGUGAUCCUAAAGGGGUUGCUAACACAUACGCGGUGAACUGGAACGAACCACCAGACCUGCAAAUGCAAGACUCCUUCGAGCGACCUGAGCUAUAUCGGAAGCAAUCAGUGCAAGGUGAAAAGUCCUUCGCAUCGGAGGCAUAUCCGGUGAAAUGGAGCAUAUCACCAUCACUAGGUCAGCAAUCGCAAGAGUCUUUCGAGCCAGAAGCAUAUCCGAUGAAAUGGAAAGAACCACCACCAUCAAGCCAACAAUCGCAAGACUCCUUCGAGCCAGAGGCAUAUCGGGUGAAAUGGAACAAAUCACCACCACCACACCAACAAUCGCAAGACUCCUUGGAGCCGGAGGCAUAUCGGGUGAAAUGGAACAAAUCACCACCACCACUCCAGCAAUCCCAAGACUCCUUCGAGCCAGAGGCAUAUCGGGUGAAAUGGAACAAAUCACCACCACCUCACCAACAAUUGCAAGACUCCUUGGAGCCGGAGGCAUAUCGGGUGAAAUGGAACAAAUCACCACCACCACUCCAGCAAUCCCAAGGCUCCUUCGAGUCAGAGGCAUAUCGGGUGAAAUGGAACAAAUCACCACCACCACACCAACAAUCGCAAGACUCCUUCGAGCCAGAGGCAUAUCGGGUGAAAUGGAACAAAUCACCACCACCACUCCAGCAAUCCCAAGACUCCUUCGAGCCAGAGGCAUAUCGGGUGAAAUGGAACAAAUCACCACCACCACACCAACAAUCGCAAGACUCCUUCGAGCCGGAGGCAUAUCGGGUGAAAUGGAACAAAUCACCACCACCACUCCAGCAAUCGCAAGACUCCUUCGAGCCGGAGGCAUAUCGGGUGAAAUGGAACAAAUCACCACCACCACUCCAACAAUCGCAAGACUCCUUCGAGCCGGAAGCAUAUCGGGUGAAAUGGAACAAAUCACCACCACCACUCCAACAAUCCCAAGACUCCUUCGAGCCGGAGGCAUAUCGGGUGAAAUGGAACAAAUCACCACCACCACUCCAGCAAUCGCAAGACUCCUUCGAGCCGGAGGCAUAUCGGGUGAAAUGGAACAAAUCACCACCACCACUCCAACAAUCGCAAGACUCUUUCGAGCCGGAGGCAUAUUGGGUGGGAUGGAAGCAACAUGCGCAAGGAGAAACAGACGUUGCUGAUGGGACGACGCCAGCACGCGGCCAUGGCCUGCAUGUCGCGACCGGGAUGCUUUUCACGAGGAAGAGCUUGCUUCCAGGGACAGCCCUACCGGAAGGCACCAGGUUCAGCGGCCACGGCUUCCCCGAUCCGCAGAGGUUCGCGCUACGGGCAGACGCGGACGCCAUCCCCUUCAGCUACAGCCAGCUCGACGCGAUCCUAAGGAUGUUCCGGAUCCCUCGAGGGUCCAAGAAGGCGGAGCAAGUCGCUGACACACUCCGGGCAUGCGAGGCCGAGUCCUCGGACGCUCAUGCCUGCGCCACCUCCGAGCAGGCGGCGGCGGACUUUGCUGCCUCCUCGCUCGGGGUCAGGGCCAGCGACCUGGUAUCGGUCGUCACCGCCGUCCACGGGGGGAAGGACGCCACUAGGUACGUGGUGGCGCCCGACGGCGUCACACGCAUCGGCAAGGCGGCGGGGGCCGCGACCGCGGUGCCGUGCCACCCGAUGCCGUACCCGUACAUGGUCCAUUACUGCCACCGGCCGACGGACGUGGAGGCGCUCCGCGUUGAGCUGACUGGGCUCGGAGACGACGGCGCGACCAUCGCGAUCGCCAUGUGCCACGCCAACACCAUGAGCUGGGACGACCGCUACUUCCAGAUGUUGAACGCGACGCGCGGCGAGGAGAUCUGCCACUUCAUGCCGUGGAACUAUGUGCUAUGGCUGCCGGCUGCCGACCUUCUAGCGAAUAACUAGGAUCACCUUCUAGGCGGGUGAUACACCGUCCAUUCUAAAAUGUAAAAAAUAAAAAUAAAAACUAUAUACAUAGUUUUUUAUUAUGCACUUAGAUAUGCGUUAUAAUUAGAUAUAUAAUAAAAAAAUAAACGACUUAUAAUUUAUAA